AAUAGUGAUGAGAAAAUAUUCAGUAUGAAAUAAACAAAAAAAAUUCAAAAAAAAAAAAACAUAAAAAUCAUUUAUUAAAUUUUGCAUCAUGAAAUCUGGUACUUUGUUUGUGGUUUCUUGUGUUCUCAUAUUUUUCGUGCUGCUUAAUACAAAAGUGGAGGCAGACGAUUGUGCGCCACAACUUGAUUACCUUCACAGCGGAAAAUGUGAUCCAAAUCCAACGACGGCUGCCAGGCAAUGCGUAUCCGAAAUUCAAGACGCAUGCUAUCCUCGUUGCAGUUGUAGAAAUAACGAAAGUGGACACCAGUGUACAUGUUUUCAUAAAUGAAUUAUACAUUGAUAUGAUUUACUGUAUCUUCAUAACUAAAAUAUAUUUAAUAAAACUUACAUAUUAAUCCA